CCUUACAUUCUCGGCACCUGGCAGGAAGUAAAGAACUCACUAAAUAUUUAUUGAAUCAAUAAAGUAACACAGAAGAGCGUGAUCAAGUUGCAGAGGCAGAAAAACAAGAGCUGCAUUUGAGAAAAUGGAACUCGUUAUCCUCUCAUAGACGGUAUGAGUAUCAUAGCACCAACAAAGGAAUCUUGCAUCACAUUUUAAAAAUUAAAACCUGUCAUUAUGGAUCACAGAAAACAUGAAGACCGUAAAACUCAAAAAAUGUCAAUUUCUGAGAUGAGGACUGGAAGGCUGAUGAAGUCUCUAAAUUCUUCUGAGAAUCUAUCAGAUCAUCCAGCUCCUGGGAAGGUGUCAACUGCUGAUGUGUAGCAUCCAAAGCAGAUAAAUAAAGACCUGGUU